rnacentral:rRNA from 1 species
GACGAACGCUGGCGGCGUGCUUAACACAUGCAAGUCGAGCGGUAAGGCCCUUUCGGGGGUACACGAGCGGCGAACGGGUGAGUAACACGUGGGUGACCUGCCUUUAGCUCUGGGAUAAGCCUGGGAAACCGGGUCUAAUACCGGAUAUGACUCCAUGACGCAUGUUGUGGGGUGGAAAGCCUUGUGCGGCUGGGGAUGGGCCCGCGGCCUAUCAGCUUGUUGGUGGGGUGAUGGCCCUACCAAGGCGA